UCCUGCAACAUAUCAAAUCCCAAUUGUUACUUUUGGAGACUCUUUCUUUAAGGUAAAAAAAUCAAAGUUCUAAAAUGGUAAGACAGAAAGAUGAAAAUGCUGAUUUUGUAUUCCAUCUUAGUGGUUGGCUGGGAAAGACCAAGAAAAACUGUUCUUUUUUAGGUUAGUUCUGCUGUUCCCAUUUAAUUCCAGCAACUUAAAUAUGCCUUUGAAAUUAACUCUUUUCUUCAAAAUAGCAGAGGCCGUUUUUUAUUUAAGGAGCUUUAACUUUGUAAAUUUGAAGAUGAGAGUUUAAUUUCAAAUCCAUUCUCAUAUUCCCCUGUCAUUCCCCCAAGUAAAUUUCUCAAGAAAUCAACAGAAAAAAAUAGCAGCUUCUUGAGGGAGAAAAGUGAAUUUCUCGAGAAACAAACAGAACAGAUAGAAAACUAACCAUCGCUAGUUGGAGCUGGAGCUGGAGAAGAAGAAAGUUCAGCUGAAGAUACAGACAGAGCAAGGACAUAAAAGACAGCAAUAAGCACAGCAGCAUAGAUUCCAAAACAAGAAGCCCUCAAAACAGCCAUCUCUGUCUCUCUCAGAAGAACCCUAGAGAGAGACAGAAGAACAAGAAGAAGAAAUGCGAAGGUUAUGAAUGAGGAGAAUGGAAAUGGAGGAAUUGGGGAUUUAAUACUGUUUAUGUUUGAACCGUAAGCUUUGGGAAUCCAAGCAAAGCCAUGUGAUUCUUCAUUCUCUCUUUGUAAAGAUUCCUUAUUUUUUAUGCUUUUGCUGUGCUGGAUAGACAGACUGUUAGUUGAUUGUGCUGGAACUCAA